rnacentral:rRNA from 1 species
AACGCUAGCUACAGGCUUAACACAUGCAAGUCGAGGGGCAUCAUGAAGUUUGCCUUGCAAACUUGAUGGCGACCGGCGCACGGGUGAGUAACGCGUAUCCAACCUUCCCUAUAGUAGAGGAUAGCCCGGCGAAAGUCGGAUUAAUACUCUAUGUUGUAUUUUGCGGACAUCUAACGAAUACCAAAGGUUUACCGCUAUAGGAUGGGGAUGCGUCUGAUUAGGUUGUUGGCGGGGUAACGGCCCACCAAGCCAUCGAUCAGUAGGGGUUCUGAGAGGAAGGUCCCCCACAUUGGAACUGAGACACGGUCCAAACUCCUACGGGAGGCAGCAGUGAGGAAUAUUGGUCAAUGGGCGAGAGCCUGAACCAGCCAAGUAGCGUGCAGGAAUGACGGCCCUAUGGGUUGUAAACUGCUUUUAUACAGGGAUAAAGUGCAUCACGUGUGGUGUUUUGUAGGUACUGUAUGAAUAAGGACCGGCUAAUUCCGUGCCAGCAGCGGC